CGGAGUCUGNAACCCGACUCCGUGAAGCUGGAUUCGCUAGUAAUCGCGCAUCAGCCAUGGCGCGGUGAAUACGUUCCCGGGCCUUGUACACACCGCCCGUCACACCAUGAGAGUUGAGAAUACCCGAAGCCCAUGUCAAAGUGGUCGAAGGUAGGCUUGAUGAUUGGGGUGAAGUCGUAACAAGGUAUC
rnacentral:rRNA from 1 species